UACGAAGGGGGCGAGCGUUGUUCGGAAUUACUGGGCGUAAAGGGCGCGUAGGCGGCGAACCAAGUCAGGUGUGAAAGUCCUGGGCUUAACCUGGGGACUGCAUUUGAUACUGGUUUGCUUGAAUUCGGGAGAGGAUAGCGGAAUUCCCGGUGUAGAGGUGAAAUUCGUAGAUAUCGGGAGGAACACCAGCGGCGAAGGCGGCCAUCUGGACAGAUAUUGACGCUGAGGUGCGAAAGCGUGGGGAGCAAACAGG
rnacentral:rRNA from 1 species